rnacentral:rRNA from 1 species
ACCGCUUCGGUGGUGGAUUAGUGGCGAACGGGUGAGUAACACGUGGGCAAUCUGCCCUUCACUCUGGGACAAGCCCUGGAAACGGGGUCUAAUACCGGAUAACACUCUGUCCCGCAUGGGACGGGGUUGAAAGCUCCGGCGGUGAAGGAUGAGCCCGCGGCCUAUCAGCUUGUUGGUGGGGUAAUGGCCUACCAAGGCGACGACGGGUAGCCGGCCUGAGAGGGCGACCGGCCACACUGGGACUGAGACACGGCCCAGACUCCUACGGGAGGCAGCAGUGGGGAAUAUUGCACAAUGGGCGAAAGCCUGAUGCAGCGACGCCGCGUGAGGGAUGACGGCCUUCGGGUUGUAAACCUCUUUCAGCAGGGAAGAAGCGAAAGUGACGGUACCUGCAGAAGAAGCGCCGGCUAACUACGUGCCAGCAGCCGCGGUAAUACGUAGGGCGCAAGCGUUGUCCGGAAUUAUUGGGCGUAAAGAGCUCGUAGGCGGCUUGUCACGUCGGAUGUGAAAGCCCGGGGCUUAACCCCGGGUCUGCAUUCGAUACGGGCUAGCUAGAGUGUGGUAGGGGAGAUCGGAAUUCCUGGUGUAGCGGUGAAAUGCGCAGAUAUCAGGAGGAACACCGGUGGCGAAGGCGGAUCUCUGGGCCAUUACUGACGCUGAGGAGCGAAAGCGUGGGGAGCGAACAGGAUUAGAUACCCUGGUAGUCCACGCCGUAAACGUUGGGAACUAGGUGUUGGCGA